rnacentral:lncRNA from 1 species
ACGCACCCAAUAGCAAUCCAAUACAUACCAAUAAAUAAAUCAAUGCAUAGUUUCUCGAAUAUGAUAUUCACUAGUACAUAAUAUAUUUACCAGUUAUAUACCUAAAAAAAUAUUCAUUCAACAUCUAGUAUAUACCUCCAGAUAAAUCAAUAUAUAGUUUCUAAAAUAUGAUGCUCAUCGGUAUACAGAAUAUAACUAAAUGAUAUACACUUGAGAGCUUAUUGAUAUGUACUAUAGAUUUUUUUGAUAUACACCCAG